UUUUGCAUAUCAAAAAGCGGAGGAAAAGAAACCAACAGGGAUUGCCUCAGUAACGGCGAGUGAAGCGGCAACAGCUCAAAUUUGAAAUCUGGCCUCUUUGGGGUCCGAGUUGUAAUUUGUAGAGGAUGUUUCGGGUACCGCCUCGGUUUAAAUUUCUUGGAACAGAAUGUCAGAGAGGGUGAGAAUCCCGUCUUGGACCGGCGGUAGGGCCCAUGUGAAACUCCUUCGACGAGUCGAGUUGUUUGGGAAUGCAGCUCAAAAUGGGUGGUAAAUUUCAUCUAAAGCUAAAUAUUGGCCAGAGACCGAUAGCGCACAAGUAGAGUGAUCGAAAGAUGAAAAGAACUUUGAAAAGAGAGUUAAACAGUAUGUGAAAUUGUUGAAAGGGAAGCGCUUGCAACCAGACUUGAGCGCGGCGGUUCCCCCUUCCUUUUGGUUGGGUUACUCCGCCGUGUCCAGGCCAACAUCGGUUCUGGGGGUCGGUUAAAGGCCCGGGGAAUGUACCUACUCCUUCGGGGGUAGACUUAUAGCCCCGGGUGUCAUGCGACCACCCGGGACCGAGGAACGCGCUUCGGCUCGGAUGUUGGCGUAAUGGUUGUCAGCGACCCGUCUUGAACCACGGACCAAAA
rnacentral:rRNA from 1 species